rnacentral:rRNA from 1 species
UACGUAGGUGGCAAGCGUUAUCCGGAAUUAUUGGGCGUAAAGCGCGCGCAGGCGGUUUCUUAAGUCUGAUGUGAAAGCCCACGGCUCAACCGUGGAGGGUCAUUGGAAACUGGGGAACUUGAGUGCAGAAGAGAAAAGCGGAAUUCCACGUGUAGCGGUGAAAUUCGUAGAUAUCGGGAGGAACACCAGUGGCGAAGGCGGCGACCUGGGCCAAUAUUGACGCUGAGGUGCGAAAGCGUGGGGAGCAAACAGG